UGUCAGAUCGGGGAGUUGCUGCUUCUCCCUUUCAGAUCAGGGUGGAGAACAGCUUCAUCAGACCACACACUGUAGAUCAUCAGCACCAUUGUGGUGAGGGAAGCAAACCGUGAUACAAGGGCCCUCGGUGCAUCACAAUCCAUCUGCAGACUGACUUGCAAGCCCACCUACGUCUGCUGCUACCUGUGAGGACAGGACAACAUGCUGAAAGCAGCUGGGCUACAACUCCAGUCUCCUUCUGUGAGCCAGUAACGCCAGGCAUGUCCUCAGCAGCUAUUGGAAAAGAUACACUCAGCCAUGUACCUACCCUUCAGUCUUCCAGGAACAGUGGCUCACAAUGGCUUCAAAGUCUGCAGUCGUGGAGGGAGGAUGGUAAAACCUCCACGAAAACUCUUUCAGUUCUGGAAGAGCCACAGUGGCCAGAUGAUGUGCUUGUGCUGAGAUGCGAGUGUUACAUCUCUCCUAGACCAGCACACAGGAGAAAUGACUCAGUGAACGGAGCUACCACCCCAUGGCUUGCAGGGCUGUGCUGCAACUGGUGUGUGGGUGAAGCACGGAGCCAACACCACAUCCCUGCAUCCGCCUGGAGCCCGACAGUCCGUCUCCCUCCCUUCCUCCCCCUCCCUGCUCCACUGAGCACACUGCGAAAAGGCAUGCAUAAAAGCUGCGGAGGAGAUAACAAGAGCUGAAGGAGUCAUAGCAGGUGUUGAGCAUUAGAGUACCAUCUGGGGCUGUCUAAUUCCAGCCAAAACAGUCUCCUCCGCAACUGCUCAGAAGGGUGGGAUGGCAUAGUUACUCAAGGUCAGGCAGGCAGAAAGGAAAGCAGAAGCUCUGGCUCAAGCCUGCAGAUUGUUACAGGAGCCAGAAAGAUUGUAGUUAUGCUAUUAAUUACUCGGCAGCAUCAAUGCAAGUGCCAGCUCACAUUCUUUCUCUAAUUACUUUUGCUGAUGUAUCGUGAUAUCUUGAAAUCACCCUUGACUCUGUGUGUGCCAGAUUCCAGAAACGUGGCCCAAACCACAUCACCAAACACAGGAAAACCUCCCUAUCUGAGGUUAAAUUAAGCUAAAAUAUUCCUCACCUUCCUCAGACAAAAGCUGAGGCCACCAGCACAUACUGAAACUCAAGCACCUCUCAAAGCCUACAGCACAAGGCACAGCAGGUUUAAUCAACCCUUUGAAAGGCUUACAAGAAACACAUGCAACUCAGUCCAGGCUUCACAUCUGCAAUUUUGUUUGUCAAGUGUCCCCUGAGUCCGGCAUCAGCAACUUACCUGUAUUCUCUAUCAGCUGGAACUUCUGAGGGAAUUUCGGGGUUCUCCAUUCUAAAAUACGUCAACUGCUAAAUGUUUCUCGAGCAAUGAUCAACUGAAAAGCACGCAUUUUGUGGCUGGCUAUGCUGUGACAGAUUGACUAGGAAAAACACCCGUAAAUCCCAUUAAUAUAUGAAUGCAUUUGAUUCUGGAGCUACUCUUUUACUGGAAAAGUGAGAACAAAACAACAAAUAAUUUUUAAGGUAUCUGGCAUGUUCAUAAUGAAGAUAUAAAUUCAGACUAAAUAACUGGGAGGUGAUGAGGCCCACUUUUCUGUCUGAGUUAUUUUUAGCAAUGUAGUUGUGUCAUUUUUAUUAGGUAAAUAAAUGUGUGUAGACAGUGAAAUGCUAACUUCGCACUUGUAGCUCACUAAGUUGAAAAUAAAGUAUUAUGACCCCAAAUGAAAUACCCAGAUAAAGAUGAGAAUGGUUAGCCUGUUUCAGAAAGUAACGUGUGAGUCAUGCCAUUGAGUCAUACAGCAGAGGAUUUAUCCAGAACAGAUGAUGGGUGCCAUGACCCCCAGUGAAUGCCAUAUCUGGCAACAGUGCUGGUCAUUCAUACUGUCUCCUCAGGGGUUCA